rnacentral:rRNA from 1 species
UACGGGGGGGGCAAGCGUUGUUCGGAAUUACUGGGCGUAAAGGGCGCGUAGGCGGCCAAGCAAGUCCUUCGUGAAAUCCCACAGCUCAACUGUGGAACUGCGGAGGAUACUGCUAGGCUUGAGUCUGGGAGAGGGGAGUGGAAUUCCCAGUGUAGCGGUGAAAUGCGUAGAUAUUGGGAGGAACACCAGUGGCGAAGGCGGCUCCCUGGACCGGUACUGACGCUGAGGUGCGAAAGCUAGGGGAGCAAACGGG